CCGGAAGGAGAGAGACUUGGGACCAUUCUGCCUCCUCCUGUGCUGUUCUGUACAGGGCUGUGCUGGAGCCAUUGUCCAGGAGGGGAGUUGUCGGAGAGUGAGCAGGAGGGAAAUGAGGCCAAAUGAGCACUCUGUGAUCCCGACUUCCCACUCUGCAAAGAAGGUCUCACCCAAGCCUCAUUUAAGAGAUUCACUGGGAGGGAAGAGUCCAGGAGGUGGCUGACCCUGCAAGAGUGGGAAAGGCAGCUCCCAACUGAACAGGAUCAGGGUGUGCUGCUUUGGACAGAAAGGGGUGUUGUUUCCCCUAGAAACAGAUAUGCAGUC